UCAAGUGACUAAGUGUACGAGGCGGAUGCCUUGGCGAUCACAGGCGAUGAAGGACGUAGAAGCUUGCGAAAAGCUGCGGGGAGCCGGCAAACGGGCCUCGAUCCGCAGAUAUCCGAAUGGGGGAACCCACCUGGUAACAGGUAUCGUCCCGCGAGGGACGAGGCGAACGGAGUGAACUGAAACAUCUAAGUAACUCUAGGAAAAGAAAUCAACCGAGAUCUCGAAAGUAGCGGCGAGCGAAAUCGAGCCAGCCGUUUACUAUUAACUUAAUGCAUAGACGAAAGGCGUGGGAAAGCCUGCCACAGAGGGUGAUAGCCCCGUAGUUAAAAUGCAAUGAGCGGAACUAAGGUAAACAAGAAGUAGGGCGGGACACGUGGUAUCCUGUCCGAAGAUGGGGGGACCAUCCUCCAAGGCUAAAUACUCGUGAUCGACCGAUAGCGAACUAGUACUGUGAAGGAAAGGCGAAAAGAACCCCGGGAGGGGAGUGAAAUAGAAUCUGAAACCGCGUACAUACAAACAGUAGGAGCCCGCAAGGGUGACUGCGUACCUUUUGCAUAAUGGGUCAGCGACUUACGUUUUGUGGCGAGCCUAACCGAGUAGGGGAGGCGAAGCGAAAGCGAGUCCGAACAGGGCGCCUAGUCGCAAGGCGUAGACCCGAAACCAGAUGAGCUAACCAUGGCCAGGUUGAAGGUGUGGUAACACACGCUGGAGGACCGAACGAACCGGUGUUGCAAAACCGGUCGAUGAGCUGUGGUUAGGGGUGAAAGGCUUAACAAAUCUGGAGAUAGCUGGUUCUCCCCGAAAACUAUUGAGGUAGUGCCUCACGCGAUCGCUCCAGGGGGUAGAGCACUGUUAUGGCUAGGGGGACAUGGCGUCUUACCAAACCAUGGCAAACUCCGAAUACUUGGAAGCGCAGCGUGGGAGACAGAGCACCGGGUGCUAACGUCCGGACUCAAAAGGGAAACAACCCAGACCGCCGUUUAAGGUCCCUAAUAUUAACUAAGUGGGAAACGAAGUGUGAAGGCUAAGACAGUCAGGAAGUUGGCUUAGAAGCAGCCAUCCUUCAAAGAAAGCGUAAUAGCUCACUGAUCGAGUCCUCAUGCGCGGAAGAUGUAUCGGGGCUAAGUUAAUAACCGAAAGCGCGGAUUUCGCAGCAAUGCGAAGUGGUAGGGGAGCGUUCUGUAAGCCUGCGAAGGUGACUUGAGAAGGUUGCUGGAGGUAUCAGAAGUGCGAAUGCUGACAUGAGUAACGAUAAAGCGGGUGAAAAGCCCGCUCGCCGCAAGCCCAAGGUUUCCUGCUCUACGUUCAUCGGAGCAGGGUGAGUCGGCCCCUAAGGCCAGGCUGAGAAGCGUAGUCGAUGGGAAUCAGGUUAAUAAUCCUGAACCGCAUCAGAAUGCGAUGGGGGGACGGAGUUUGGAAGGUCAUCCGGGUGUUGGAUAUCCCGGUUUGUGAGAGUAGGAGGUUCGCAGGCAAAUCCGCGGACAUAUCUCCGAGUCAAAGCAUCGAGCUUUCGUUAGAAAGUGAAGUGAUUGGAAGAACUUCCAGGAAAAGCCUCUAAGCUUCAGUUUUGAUGUGACCGUACCGUAAACCGACACUGGUGGGCGAGUUGAAUAUACUAAGGCGCUUGAGAGAACUCGGGAGAAGGAACUCGGCAAAUUGACACCGUAACUUCGGAAGAAGGUGUGCCCGUGUAACGAGGCAAGGGGAAACCCCUUGAGCGUGAAAGGGUCUCAGAGAAAUGGUGGCUGCGACUGUUUAUCAAAAACACAGCACUCUGCAAAGACGAAAGUCGACGUAUAGGGUGUGAUGCCUGCCCGGUGCUGGAAGAUUAAGUGAUGAGCUGCAAGGUUCUGAUCGAAGUCCCAGUAAACGGCGGCCGUAACUAUAACGGUCCUAAGGUAGCGAAAUUCCUUGUC
rnacentral:rRNA from 1 species